rnacentral:rRNA from 1 species
CAGCAGCCACGGUAAGACAGAGGUGCCAAGCGUUAGGCGGAAUCACUGGGCUUAAAGCGUGUGUAGGCGGAUGCCUAAGUACCUUGUGAAAUCCCACGGCUUAACCGUGGAACUGCUCGGUAUACUGGGUGUCUUGAGCUGACUAGGGGCUACCGGAACAAGUGGUGGAGCGGUGAAAUGCGUAGAUAUCACUUGGAACGCCAAUGGUGAAAACAGGUGGCUGGGGUCAUGCUGACGCUGAGACACGAAAGCUAGGGGAGCAAACGGGAUUAGAUACCCCCGUAGUCCCUGUCUCUUAUAA